rnacentral:lncRNA from 1 species
CUCUGAAGACCUGGUCCAAGAGCAUCAGGCAGACUGAAGGGGACCUGUUUGGAUUCCAACACACCCUUUGUUCCCUGAGGCAAUCGGGCGUUCCUGGGUACAGCCACCAAAGAUCUCCCAAGGUUGACCAUGAAGCAGGGCAGGGGGUGUUUGGCCAGGAGGAUGCUAAGGGUCUCCUGCUCAGGGAUAAGCAGAGGCCGUCAGAGCUCCCAGCCUUUGCCGUGCUCCUCCUUCUGCCUGAAGUAGCGGCCACUCCCUCCUUUGCCUGCCGACUCCUUGUUGGAUGCUCUCAUGUCUGCACAGGUGUCACUCCUUCUAGGAGACUCUCCCCAAGCUUCACACCGUCUCUCCCUCAGGCCCGUGAAGCUCCCUUUGUGCUCCUACACUCUGCCUCGCACAGUGUAGGUCCUUGGUGGGUGCUGGUUGAAUGAACGGGUCUAGUGGGAUAGCACAGACAACCCCCCAAACUCUAACCCAAAGCAGAUUUUGGUGAGACCUGUCAGCCUUGGGAGUAGAGUGAAAUGAAUUCUGGCGAACAAGACUGAGAUGUCUGCUGACCACUUUUCAACCAGCAGCACAAAGCCCGGGUUCCCUCAUGUCCGUGUGAGAUGGAAGGCGUGGCUGAGCAGCUAUUAAGCGCUCUUUCUAUCACAAGCCUGUGGAACAGGUAAGCAUUGUGCCCUGUCUUGGGGCUUGUAAGAUGAUGAUGUCUGACAUUCUAGAAAUCUCUGCUGCUAGCCCAGCCUGCUAACAACAGAGGGUCCUUUCUCAGGUGACAGACAGACUUGAUGCUAAAAAGUCACCCUGGAAGUGGCAGAGUCUACCUUUCAGUCUUUGAAAAGCAAGCUGAUGAGAUGGGAGUCAGGUGAUGUUUGAUGCGUCUGGUGGGACAGGGGUCCCAGCUGGGACGGAAAUUGAGUAUCCCCAUCAUCCUCAGGUCGAGAGGCCCUCUUUGCAAGAGUGAUUUGGGGGCGUCUUAGACAAAUCUAAAGAGAGGGGACAAGAAAGGUAAGCCUGGCUCAGGGGAGAGGGAUUUGGAAUUCAGAGCGUUUUUUAUUUUGCUUGCUUGUUUUACUAUUUGUCUCCUGGCACAGCCCUGCAGGGUUCAAGUUGAAUCCAGGGUGGGCGGCAGGCACAGAGGAAGCCACACCGCUUCAGGACCACCCUAGAAACAUCAGCAGAAGGGGCGAAAGGCCCCGGGGCCCUCCCCCGGCCCCAGCACCGGGUACCCACAGCAGGGGCGUGACCGCAGCCUCUCCCUGAGUGCUUGGUGGGGCUGAUGGUGGUCUCCGCAGGGGCAGCCUGUGGGGCGCUGUCACCCACCUUAGCAGAACCAGACGCAGUGGGUGCAGGAAAAGGAAAAGAAAAUUAAUACCAGGCAUCCUGUGUGUCUGACCAGAUUUAUUUAUGAGCAUGAGAGAGACAGCCUCAGAGAUUUCCAGAAGUACUUGUCAUUGGUUGGGCUCAUCCUGCAGAAGUUCAAGGGAAGAGGCAAUAAAUUUCCAGUUAACCCCCAGCUGAUACGACCUGGGAAAACAUGAGAUGCACAGAAUUUUUUCCCUGGGCCACUCCUUUCACCCCAAAUUCUUUCCCCACCUCUGGCCAAUUUUCAGUAGAGACUCAAAACUGAAAAAACCUUUCUUCAAAGGCACAUGUAUGUCUUCAGCAAGGAUCAGGAGUUCCCAGCAGCACGUAACUGCAAACCACAGCUGCCUCCGCCCCAGGGUCCAGGGGGCGUUGGGGGUGGGUAGCAACCUGCUUUGCAUUUGGGGUAGGAGAGGAAUGCACUCCAGCGGCAGUGGCUCCAGGGAAGGGCAGUGGAGCCAGCUGGCUGCCUUCGGCUCCCGCUCUCCAUCGAGUCCUUGCACGCGCCCCGCCCCACCCCACUGAGGUCCUGAGACACAGCACAGCUGGAAGCUGCCUUUGGAGAGUGUCCAUGCAGAUCAGCCCCUGUCCCCCCCACACCCUCUAUCACACCUUUCACCCAAGGAGCCAAGGGUCUUAACUUCCAUUGCUCAGCUAAGGGCUAUUUUUCUGGGCUGCAAGUCCUUGUCCAGUGUGAAUACGUAGAACGGAGCCAGGAGUGCAAGUGUAUUGAUGCCGUUCCAACCAGGCCAUGUGCCCCAGCUCUUUGCAAAAUCCCAUCUGGGUUUUAUUUUGCAGAGGCCGAGGCCCUUUCUCUGUGUAACUAGGGAGCGUUUGGGAGAAUAGCUCUCAGCUUACAAAUAGGAAGCCUCAAGGGCGGAGCCUACACUUGACGGGGAUGUGGGGUUCCCCACACGGGCUCGCCAGCCUGACUCCACCCCCAGGGUACAUUCGGUUGUCUGGGUCAGUGUCACCCCCGGGCCAGGCCAGAUCCCACCUCUCCCCCUGGCCUGGUGAUCUCCCAGUGAGAGGUCAGGGAAGGAGCCAGCCUGUUCCCUGGGGCCCACUUCACUCUGAAAUUGUCGACUUUGGUGUCCCCAGUCUCACUGUGGUUCAUGAGCACCUUAGUGAGUCCCAGGGGCACAGAAUUGUGAACCAACCUCACUGCCACGUGCGUGCAGACUCCUGUGCACUAUCUUGUGUCUGAGUACAUCUUUUUUUUUUUUUUUGCCACACCCACGGCAUGCAGAAAUUCCUGGGCCGGGGAUCAAGCCUGUGCCACAGCAGGGACAACACCAGAUCCUUAACCCGCUAAGCCACCAGGAAAUUCCUGAGUACAUCUUUUAAAUUCAGUUCCUUCCUAUUUUGGGGGUGGGGGCACGCACCUGUGGCAUAUGGAGGUUCCCAGGCUAGGGGUGGAAUCCAAGCUGCAGCUGCCAGCCACAGCCACAGCCACAGCCACAGCCACAGCAAUGCCGAAUCCAAGCUCGGACCGUGCUAGCAGGUCACAACAACGCUGGAUCUUUAACACACUGAGCGAGGCCAGAGAUUGAACCUGCACCCUCAUGGAUACUAGCGGGGUUUGUUUCCACUGAGCCACAACAGGAACGCCUCAGCUCCUUUCUCUAUCAAAUAUGGCUUUUUGAAAACGAUCACCUUAAUUUUAAAUAUUUAAGGGAAAAAACUGUGUUAUUUAAAAAAAAAAAAAAAAGGUAUUGUGGUUGACAUGGGUGCCCAUGAAGGCAAAUCCAUUGCAUCGUAAAUUGCAGAACACGGAGACCCAGGGGCUGGGACUGCAAGGUGCCUUGGGCCCGGGGCACGAGCCAGCACACUGGAGCCGGCAGUGUUUUUAAUCCUCUGUCUGGCUGGGUUUACUGAAGACAAGCUGUUCCAAAAACAAUAAGCAGCAGCCCUUGUGGGGGUCCUGCCCUGCUCUCGUCUGACUCAACUCCCAUUUGGGCAUCAGCUUUAAUUUAGUGGAGAAAAAGGGAAAAUGCCGAAUUGGCCUUCAUUGUUCCGCAGCUUUAUUCCUCAGACCCUGCCAGCAGAGGCCUCCGGCCAGAAGCCAAGUCCCGUGAGGACACCAGUCUCCAUGGUCCAGGCAGGAGACAAUGGCUGCUCUGAAAGUACAGCUUUGAGAUGAGGCCACUCUUAUGCAGGCUCCAGGUCUCCUUUUGUGCAACUCACCCCUGAUUUCUAGGUGUGUCCCAGAUGCUCCUCAAAAGAAGGUCUAUCUUCGAAGCUAGACUGGGAGGGGGGUAAAGUGGAAUCGGUUUUCUUUCCCAAGCUUUGAUUGGAGUUUUGUUGUUUUUUAAAGAAAUAUCCUUUGGGAGUUCCCAUUGUGGUACAAGGGAAAGGAAUCUGACUAGGAACCAUGAGGUUGCAGGUUCCAUCCCUGGCCUUGCUCAGUGGGUUAAGGAUACGGCGUUGUCCUGAUCUGUGGUGUAAGUUGCAGAUGUGGCUCAGAUCUGCCGUGGCUGUGGCUGUGGCUUAGGCGGGCAGCUAUAGCUCUGAUUGGACCCCUAGCCUGGGAACCUCCACAUGCUGCGGGUG